AAGUCGUAACAAGGUUUCCGUAGGUGAACCUGCGGAAGGAUCAUUAACACGUAUCCACGUAUCAACCAAUUGUGAACUUGUUUUCAAGUCUCCCUAUUGUUCCGACUGAUUCGUCAGGCGGACCAUUAGGCCAACCCGUUCGCUUUCGCUUCACCGCGAAUCGAACGAUUUACAACACACCAAUUUCACCCCCUUUUUGCUAGUUGACUUUUAUAUGUUGUCUGAUUUCAUCUUCAUUGAUGAGUCAUUCACACGUUUAUUAUUUGAACGUUAAAUUUACAACUCUUAGCAAUGGAUAUCUUGGUUCUC
rnacentral:misc_RNA from 1 species